rnacentral:rRNA from 1 species
AUUGAACGCUGGCGGCAGGCCUAACACAUACAAGUCGAACGAGUGGCGGACGGGUGAGUAAUGUCUGGGAAACUGCCCGAUGGAGGGGGCUAACUAAUGGAAAAGGUAGCUAAUACCGCAUACCAUCGGAUGUGCCCAGAUGGGAUUAGCUAGUCGGUUGGGUAACGGCUCACCUAGGCGACGAUCCCUAGCUGGUCUGAGAGGAUGACCAGCCACACUGGAACUGAGACACGGUCCAGACUCCUACGGGAGGCAGCAGUGGGGAAUAUUGCACAAUGGGCGCAAGCCUGAUGCAGCCAUGCCGCGUGUAUGAAGAAGGCCUUCGGGUUGUAAAGUACUUUCAGCGAGGAGGCGUUACUCGCAGAAGAAGCACCUGCUAACUCCGUGCCAGCAGCCGCGGUAAUAC